AGAGUUUGAUCCUGGCUCAGGAUGAACGCUAGCGACAGGCUUAACACAUGCAAGUCGAGGGGCAGCGGGGGAGUAGCAAUACUCCCGCCGGCGACCGGCGCACGGGUGAGUAACACGUAUGAAACCUGCCCGUAGCAGGGGGGGAUAAGCGGAAGAAAUUCCGUCUAAUACCGCGUAACAACCCUUGGAGGCAUCUCCUCGGGUUUAAAGGAAGCGAUUCCGGCUACGGAUGGUCAUGCGUCGCAUUAGCUGGUUGGCGGGGUAACGGCCCACCAAGGCGACGAUGCGUAGGGGUUCUGAGAGGAAGGUCCCCCACACUGGUACUGAGACACGGACCAGACUCCUACGGGAGGCAGCAGUGAGGAAUAUUGGUCAAUGGCCGCAGGGCUGAACCAGCCAAGUCGCGUGAGGGAUGACGGUCCUAUGGAUUGUAAACCUCUUUUGUCAGGGAGCAAAGGGCGCCACGUGUGGCGCUUUGCGAGUACCUGAAGAAAAAGCAUCGGCUAACUCCGUGCCAGCAGCCGCGGUAAUACGGAGGAUGCGAGCGUUAUCCGGAUUUAUUGGGUUUAAAGGGUGCGCAGGCGGAAUGUCAAGUCAGCGGUAAAAUUUCGGGGCUCAACCCCGUCGUGCCGUUGAAACUGGCGUUCUUGAGUGAGCGAGAAGUAUGCGGAAUGCGUGGUGUAGCGGUGAAAUGCAUAGAUAUCACGCAGAACUCCGAUUGCGAAGGCAGCAUACCGGCGCUCAACUGACGCUCAUGCACGAAAGCGUGGGUAUCGAACAGGAUUAGAUACCCUGGUAGUCCACGCAGUAAACGAUGAAUACUAACUGUCCGGGCAGAAUGAU
rnacentral:rRNA from 1 species